UACGAAGGUUGCAAGCGUUACUCGGAAUUACUAGGCGUAAAGGGCAUGUAGGUGGUUUGGUAAGUCUAUUGUGAAAGCUCCUGGCUUAACUGGGAGAGGCCAAUGGAUACUACCAAGCUUGAGUAUAGGAGAGGUUACUGGAAUUCCCCAAGUAGCGGUGAAAUGCGCAGAUAUGGGGAGGAACACCAAUGGCGAAAGCAGGUAACUGGACUAUUACUGACACUCAACUGCGAAAGCUAGGGGAGCAAACAGG
rnacentral:rRNA from 1 species